rnacentral:rRNA from 1 species
AACGAACGCUGGCGGCAUGCCUAACACAUGCAAGUCGAACGAUGGUCUUCGGAUCAUAGUGGCGCACGGGUGCGUAACGCGUGGGAAUCUGCCCUUGGGUUCGGAAUAACAGUUGGAAACGACUGCUAAUACCGGAUGAUGUCGAUAAGACCAAAGAUUUAUCGCCCGAGGAUGAGCCCGCGUCGGAUUAGCUAGUUGGUGGGGUAAAGGCCUACCAAGGCGACGAUCCGUAGCUGGUCUGAGAGGAUGAUCAGCCACACUGGGACUGAGACACGGCCCAGACUCCUACGGGAGGCAGCAGUGGGGAAUAUUGGACAAUGGGCGCAAGCCUGAUCCAGCAAUGCCGCGUGAGUGAUGAAGGCCUUAGGGUUGUAAAGCUCUUUUACCCGGGAAGAUAAUGACUGUACCGGGAGAAUAAGCCCCGGCUAACUCCGUGC